AAGUGAAAUUAUGGCAAUCAUAUUUUGGAACCAAUCUGAAAUGAAUACUCAUUGCCGAUCACUU